rnacentral:rRNA from 1 species
AAUCAACGCUGGCGGCGUGCCUAACACAUGCAAGUCGAACGCGAAAGUCCUGCAAGGGAUCAGUAGAGUGGCAAACGGGUGAGUAACACGUGGGUGACCUGCCUUCGAGUGGGGGAUAACGUUCCGAAAGGGACGCUAAUACCGCAUGACAUCCUGCCUUUGAAGAGGUGGAGCUUAAAGCUGGGGAUCGCAAGACCCAGCGCUUGAAGAGGGGCCCGCGGCCGAUUAGCUAGUUGGUGGGGUAACGGCUCACCAAGGCGACGAUCGGUA